rnacentral:rRNA from 1 species
CCUACGGGUGGCAGCAGUGAGGAAUAUUGGUCAAUGGACGAGAGUCUGAACCAGCCAAGUAGCGUGAAGGAUGACUGCCCUAUGGGUUGUAAACUUCUUUUAUAUGGGAAUAAAAUGUUCCACGUGUGGGCUUUUGUAUGUACCAUAUGAAUAAGGAUCGGCUAACUCCGUGCCAGCAGCCGCGGUAAUACGGAGGAUCCGCGCGUUAUCCGGAUUUAUUGGGUUUAAAGGGAGCGUAGGCUGAUUGUUAAGUCAGUUGUGAAAGUUUGCGGCUCAACCGUAAAAUUGCAGUUGAAACUGGCAGUCUUGAGUACAGUAGAGGUGUGCGGAAUUCGUGGUGUAGCGGUGAAAUGCUUAGAUAUCACGAAGAACUCCGAUUGCGAAGGCAGCUCACUGGACUGCAACUGACACUGAGGCUCGAAAGUGUGGGUAUCAAACAGGAGUAGAUACCCGAGUAGUC